rnacentral:rRNA from 1 species
AGCUUGCUCUUGGGUGACGAGUGGCGGACGGGUGAGUAAUGUCUGGGAAACUGCCCGAUGGAGGGGGAUAACUACUGGAAACGGUGCUAAUACCGCAUAACGUCUUCGGACCAAAGUGGGGGACCUUCGGGCCUCACACCAUCGGAUGUGCCCAGAUGGGAUUAGCUAGUAGGUGGGGUAACGGCUCACCUAGGCGACGAUCCCUAGCUGGUCUGAGAGGAUGACCAGCCACACUGGAACUGAACACGGCCAACUCCUACGGGAGGCAGCAGUGGGGAAUAUUGCACAAUGGGCGCAAGCCUGAUGCAGCCAUGCCGCGUGUAUGAAGAAGG